GCCAUCUCAACGGGGUGCAGUUGUUGCAAAAUAUCGCUGCUGAGAAUAAACCCGUUAAACCUGAACCGGUUAGUACCGGCGGAGGGAUUUGGGUUGCUAUUCAUU
rfam:Xenorhabdus nematophila ATCC 19061 chromosome, complete genome